CACGUAGGGUGCGAGCGUUGUCCGGAAUUAUUGGGCGUAAAGAGCUCGUAGGCGGUGUGUCGCGUCGGUCGUGAAAACUUGGGGCUUAACUCUGAGCGUGCGGUCGAUACGGGCAUCACUUGAGUUCGGCAGGGGAGACUGGAAUUCCUGGUGUAGCGGUGAAAUGCGCAGAUAUCAGGAGGAACACCGGUGGCGAAGGCGGGUCUCUGGGCCGAUACUGACGCUGAGGAGCGAAAGCAUGGGGAGCGAACAGG
rnacentral:rRNA from 1 species